UGGGGAAUAUUGGGCAAUGGGCGAAAGCCUGACCCAGCAACGCCGCGUGAGGGAAGAAGGUUUUCGGAUCGUAAACCUCUGUCCUUGGGGACGAAAGAAAUGACGGUACCCAAGGAGGAAGCCCCGGCUAACUACGUGCCAGCAGCCGCGGUAAUACGUAGGGGGCGAGCGUUGUCCGGAAUGAUUGGGCGUAAAGGGCGCGUAGGCGGCCUGUUAAGUCCGGAGUGAAAUUCCUGCUUUCAAGGUAGGAAGUGCUUUGGAAACUGGCGGGCUGGAGUGCAGGAGAGGUUAGCGGAAUUCCCGGUGUAGCGGUGAAAUGCGUAGAGACCGGGAGGAACACCGAGUGGCGAAGGCGGCUAACUGGACUGUAACUGACGCUGAGGCGCGAAAGUGUGGGGA
rnacentral:rRNA from 1 species